AAAUGUCCUAACUCUUAUUUAUGCACUUCAAACCGUUUUGCAGUAUUUAUCAUUGUUUUCGUUUCUCCGUUAAACGGAAUAUAUUCUAUGUUGCGCAUAUACAUAUGUACAUCUGUUUAGUGAAAAUGUAAAUGCUUGUUGCCUUUGUUCGCUAACCGCAAUGUGCCAACCGCUAUUUCUCCUUUGUAUAUACAUAUGUAUGUACAUAGUUUGCCAAAUUUGGUACAUUCGCUAAAAAUUUAAGAACAUUAGUUCAGUCGUCGAUCAAAGGAGAAAAGCGAAGGACACACUGCGAAAUAAACCGAAUCUGAACUGAAGUCGAAUUAAGCGUUUUAUUUUGGAUUCGCGUUGAAUUCGCUCGCGGAAUCGACGACAUCUU